rnacentral:SRP_RNA from 1 species
UUCUGGGCUAUAAUGAGCUAUGCCAAUUGGGUGUCCGCACUAAGUUCGGCAUCAAUAUGGUGACCUCCUGGGAGCAGGGAACCACCAGGAGAGCGAGUGUGCCAGUGACGAUUCGUGGGUGCGGGGAUUAAGGAAUGGAAGGAGGGGUGAACCGGCCCAGGUAGGAAACACAGCAGGUCAAAACUCCUGUGCUGAUCAGUAGUGGGAUCGCGCCUGUGAAUAGCCACUGCACUCCAG